rnacentral:rRNA from 1 species
AGUGAACGCUGGCGGUAGGCCUAACACAUGCAAGUCGAACGGCAGCACAGUAAGAGCUUGCUCUUACGGGUGGCGAGUGGCGGACGGGUGAGGAAUACAUCGGAAUCUACUUUUUCGUGGGGAUAACGUAGGGAAACUUACGCUAAUACCGCAUACGACCUACGGGUGAAAGCAGGGGAUCUUCUGACCUUGCGCGAUUGAAUGAGCCGAUGUCGGAUUAGCUAGUUGGCGGGGUAAAGGCCCACCAAGGCGACGAUCCGUAGCUGGUCUGAGAGGAUGAUCAGCCACACUGGAACUGAGACACGGUCCAGACUCCUACGGGAGGCAGCAGUGGGGAAUAUUGGACAAUGGGGGAAAGCCUGAUCCAGCCAUACCGCGUGGGUGAAGAAGGCCUUCGGGUUGUAAAGCCCUUUUGUUGGGAAAGAAAAGCAGCAGGUUAAUACCCCGCUGUUCUGACGGUACCCAAAGAAUAAGCACCGGCUAACUUCGUG